rnacentral:rRNA from 1 species
UACGUAGGGUCCGAGCGUUGUCCGGAAUUAUUGGGCGUAAAGGGCUCGUAGGCGGUCUGUUGCGUCGGGAGUGAAAACUUACAGCUUAACUGUGAGCGUGCUUUCGAUACGGGCAGACUUGAGGCAUUCAGGGGAGACUGGAAUUCCUGGUGUAGCGGUGAAAUGCGCAGAUAUCAGGAGGAACACCGGUGGCGAAGGCGGGUCUCUGGACGGCAACUGGACGCUGAGGCACGAAAGCGUGGGGAGCAAACAGG